UACGUAGGUGGCAAGCGUUGUCCGGAUUUACUGGGCGUAAAGAGCGCGCAGGCGGUCGGAUAAGUCGAAUGUGAAAGCCCCCGGCUUAACUGGGGAGGGUCAUUCGAUACUGUUCGACUCGAAGGCAGGAGAGGGAAGCGGAAUUCCCGGUGUAGUGGUGAAAUGCGUAGAUAUCAGGAGGAACACCGGUGGCGAAGGCGGUUCUCUGGGCAUGUCCUGACGCUGAGGAGCGAAAGUGUGGGGAGCGAACAGG
rnacentral:rRNA from 1 species